rnacentral:rRNA from 1 species
UGGGGAAUUGUUCGCAAUGGGCGCAAGCCUGACGACGCAACGCCGCGUGGAGGAUGAAGAUCUUCGGGUCGUAAACUCCUGUCGAAUGGGACGAACGGGUUGUGGGUGAACACCCUGCAACCGUGACGGUACCGUUAAAGGAAACCCCGGCUAACUCCGGUCCAGCAGCCGCGGUAAUACGGGGGGGGUAAGCGUUGUUCGGAAUUACUGGGCGUAAAGGGCUCGUAGGCGGCCAACUAAGUCAUACGUGAAAUCCCUCAGCUUAACUGGGGAACUGCGUGUGAUACUGGAUGGCUUGGAUUUGGGAGAGGGAUGCGGAAUUCCAGGUGUAGCGGUGAAAUGCGUAGAUAUCUGGAGGAACACCGGUGGCGAAGGCGGCAUCCUGGACCAAUAUUGACGCUGAGGAGCGAAAGCCAGGGGAGCAAA